rnacentral:rRNA from 1 species
GAUGAACGCUGGCGGCGUGCCUAAUACAUGCAAGUCGAGCGAACGGACGAGGAGCUUGCUUCUCUGAUGUUAGCGGCGGACGGGAGAGUAACACGUGGAUAACCUACCUAUAAGACUGGGAUAACUUCGGGAAACCGUAUCUUAGACCGGAUAAUAUUUUGAACCGCAUUGUUCAAAAGUGAAAUACGGUCUUUGUGUCACUUAUAGAUGGAUCCGCGCUGCAUUAGCUAGUUGGUAAGGUAACGGCUUACCAAGGCAACGAUGCAUAGCCGACCUGAGAGGGUGAUCGCCCACACGGGAACUGAGACACGGUCCAGACUCCUACGAGAGGAAGCAGUAGGGAAUCUUACGCAAUGGGCGAGAGCCUGACAGAGCAACGCCGCGUGAGUGAUGAAGGUCUUCGGAUCGUAAAACUCUGUUAUUAGUGAAGAACAUAUGUGUAAGUACCUGUGCACAUCUUGACGGUACCGAGUCAGAAAGCCCCGGCUAACUACGUG